rnacentral:tRNA from 1 species
AUGUGGCUCAGAGGUAGAGCACUUGCCUAGCAUGUGCAAGGGCCUGGGUUCAAUCCCCAACAU